rnacentral:piRNA from 1 species
UUGGACAACGUUAUAGAUUCA